AUACGGAGGAUCCGAGCGUUAUCCGGAUUUAUUGGGUUUAAAGGGUGCGCAGGCGGCCAUUUAAGUCAGCGGUUAAAUCGUGGGGCUCAACCCCAUUCUGCCGUUGAUACUGGGUGGCUUGAUUGCGGUCGAGGUUGGCGGAAUUCGUUGUGUAGCGGUGAAAGGCAUAGAUAUGACGAAGAACACCGAUUGCGUAGGCAGCUGACCAGACCGCAAAUGACGCUCAUGCACGAAAGUGCGGGGAUCGAACAGGAUUAGAUACCAUGGUAGUCCGCACAGUAAACGAUGAAUACUUGUUUCCGGCGAUAUAAUGUCGGAGGCAAAGCGAAAGCGAUAAGUAUGCCGCCUGGGGAGUACGACGGCAACGGUGAAACUCAAAGGAAUUGACGGG
rnacentral:rRNA from 1 species